GGGGCUGAGCCAGUUUCGACGGGAUGUCCGCGAUCAUCGUAAGCAGGCGGAGUUGCGAGCCCUCCUAAAACGAUCGCAAGCGUUUUACACGCGAACAACAACUACGCACUGGCUGCCUAACUUAGGUUAGCCACGGUCCUCGAGGGGUCGCCGGUUCCGCCUCGUUCACCGUCAACAACUCCGGCUAGGAUGGGGAAAUCGUCCCGCGAUCCGUCCGAAAUUUAGGGAUUGCCGCCGCCGCGAUUCUGGUUUCGAGAAGCGCGACGGCCUAAGACAAAAUCGAAGCUGAGCCUGGAGAAAGCGCUGGUUAGGCGUUUCGGACUCGGGGGGCGGCACCCCGACAGCUCCACCA
rnacentral:tmRNA from 1 species